rnacentral:lncRNA from 1 species
UUAGAGGCAGACCCAUCAGGAGCAUCUGAGAGAGGCUGGCUGCAGACCCUAACCAGCCAAUCAAUAUAGAUGCCUGUCUGGAACAGACACCAUACCGCCCUGGGACUUUUCCACAAGGACAUUUCAAACCCUACCUUUAAAGCUCUUGUCUUCUGAAAGUUUAUGGGCCAAGAAAUGCUAUCAGCACAGCCUAUGUUCCUUGCCAUCACCAGUGUGGUAAUAGUACUCCCUCCCUAAUUCUCUCCGGAGACCUGCCUCAGGGCCCCUUCUGCAUUCUCCCCUAUCUCCAUUUGUCUGGCUUUGGGGCAAGAAUGCAUGCUAUGAGCAUCACGUAGUUUAUGUUAGUACUGUGGUCAACAACUUGCCCUUAUUCUGUGAGAUCUUUGCAGACAGGUGGUUGCCACCACCUGCUUGGGUGGCUCCAUACUUGGGGAGCAGGGACUGGCAGGUAGGCUCCAGAUGUCCAUAGGUCCUGAGGUCUUUCCUCCCCCUGCCCUGUCAGGCACCUCAGGAAUGUCUAAAAUCCUGCUGGGUCCAGACCCCCAUCACUCCUGUAGUGGCUGAUCUCAGCCUGGUCUGACCAGGUCUCCUUUCCCUCGGGCUCUGGUUUCUUCCAGAGGAAUCUCAGGGAAAGAGGUUCACCAUUAAACUGCUGGCUGGGAAGAGACCCUAACAUCGGAUUAAGCAAGACUGGCCUUACCAAGACAUGUGAUGGGUGCUCUGUAGAGGGACCCUUUCUUUCCCUCCCCGAACCAGCUCUUUGGGGUUGUUAAUCCGUCAUGGGGAGGGGUUCAGGAGUCUUCCUCCCUGACUCUACAUUUCCCCACCCUUCAACCUUCCAAGUCCACAGGACCAGAGAUUCUGAAAGGAAGGGACUUCAACUUCCUGUAACUCAAGCUUCCGGGGCCUGUGUGGACUGCAGAGGGUGGCUGUGCCAGCUGCCGUGCUAAGGAAGCACGGUACUCCUUUUCCAAGUGAGACACUCCAACAGGGCUUGUAGAAGCUGUGGGAGUGAGUCUAAAGGGCGAGGGCAUGUACACUGCAGACCCUGGGUCCUGGGACUGAGUCUUGAGAUUGAUAGCAGGGAGAGAACAUGAAGCUUGGUGCCCCUAUGGGGCAGAUCAGAAAACUCCCUGAACUGUAUUUUUUUAACCUGGUCUUCCCUCUCUGGCUUCCAUGAUGUUGGUGCCAGGUGAGGUGUCUGGGUCCCUGUUACAAGUCAGGAACCCUGUUGGGAGACCCGCUUUUGUACAAAGAUCUGAAUGCUGCAAUGAACAGACUUUUGUACAUUUUUAUAUCAGUUUUUAAUGUCAGUGGCGACUCAGUUCCUGGGGCUACAGCUGGCUCAGGAUUUUUGUAAGAAAUUUUGAGUGACUCACUUAGAUUUUGUUCCCACUUGUCCCUCUUCCUCUGUGUAAUCUAAGUGCAUUAAACAUAUCUGCAGGAGC